rnacentral:rRNA from 1 species
GACGAACGCUGGCGGCGUGCCUAAUACAUGCAAGUCGAGCGCGGGAAGCAGGCAGACCUUCUUCGGGAGGGACGCCUGUGGAACGAGCGGCGGACGGGUGAGUAACACGUGGGCAACCUACCUGUAAGUCUGGGAUAACCCCGGGAAACCGGGGCUAAUACCGGAUAGGCACCACGUGCGCAUGCAUGUGGUGUGAAAGGCGGGUUUUGGCCUGCCGCUUACAGAUGGGCCUGCGGCGCAUUAGCUAGUUGGUGAGGUAACGGCUCACCAAGGCGACGAUGCGUAGCCGACCUGAGAGGGUGACCGGCCACACUGGGACUGAGACACGGCCCAGACUCCUACGGGAGGCAGCAGUAGGGAAUCUUCCGCAAUGGGCGAAAGCCUGACGGAGCAACGCCGCGUGAGCGAGGAAGGCCUUCGGGUCGUAAAGCUCUGUUGUGAGGGAAGAAAGAGUGCAGGAGUAACUGUCUGCACGUUGACGGUACCUCACGAGGAAGCCCCGGCUAACUACGUGCCAGCAGCCGCGGUAAUACGUAGGGGGCGAGCGUUGUCCGGAAUUAUUGGGCGUAAAGCGCGCGCAGGCGGUCCACUAAGUCUGAUGUGAAAGCCCCCGGCUUAACCGGGGAGGGUCAUUGGAAACUGGUGGACUUGAGUGCAGGAGAGGAGAGUGGAAUUCCACGUGUAGCGGUGAAAUGCGUAGAGAUGUGGAGGAACACCAGUGGCGAAGGCGGCUCUCUGGCCUGUAACUGACGCUGAGGCGCGAAAGCGUGGGGAGCAAACAGGAUUAGAUACCCUGGUAGUCCACGCCGUAAACGAUGAGUGCUAGGUGUUGGGGGGAGCAAUCUCCUCAGUGCUGAAGUUAACACAUUAAGCACUCCGCCUGGGGAGUACGGCCGCAAGGCUGAAACUCAAAGGAAUUGACGGGGGCCCGCACAAGCGGUGG